AAGUCGAACGGAUGACAAGAGAGCUUGCUCUCUUGAAGUCAGUGGCGCACGAGUGAGUAACGCGUGGGAAACUGCCCUUCACUGGGGAAUAACGUUUGGAAACGAACGCUAAUACCGCAUACGCCCGCAAGGGGAAAGAUUUAUCGGUGAUGGAUGUGCCCGCGUUGGAUUAGCCAGUUGGUGGGGUAAUGGCCUACCAAAGCAAUGAUCCAUAGCUGGUCUGAGAGGACGAUCAGCCACGCUGGAACUGAGACACGGUCCAGACUCCUACGGGAGGCAGCAGCUAAGAAUAUUGGGCAAUGGAGGAAACUCUGACCCAGCCCAUGCCGCGUGAAUGAAGAAGGCCUUCGGGUUGUAAAGUUCUUUUAGUCAUGAAGAUGAUGACAGUAGUGACAGAAAAAGCACCGGCUAACUUCGUGCCAGCCGCGGC
rnacentral:rRNA from 1 species